GUCGUAACAAGGUUUCCGUAGGUGAACCUGCGGAAGGAUCAUUAAAAAAUGUGGUACCAAUUAUUGGUACUAAUUAAUCAUCCUACCCUUUGUGAAUUUGUUUGUAUGAAUUUUUUUAAAUGGGUCUUUCCCUAAGUUGGAUUGUUAGUAAAAUACAAAAAGACUUAGGGGAAUGACUUUUUUAAAAGACUUUUUUUUAAUUAAAACUUUUUGUAUUCAUUGUCUAAAAUUUAUUUUUAUAAUAUAAAAACAACUUUUGACAAUGGAUCUCUUGGUUCUCGCAACGAUGAAGAACGCAGCAAAAUGCGAUAAGUAGUGUGAAUUGCAGAAUACGUGAAUCAUCGAAUCUUCGAACGCAUAUUGCACUUUUUUAGUCUACUAAAAAAGUAUGUCUGUUUGAGUAUCAGUAAAAUAUUCUCACAAAACAUAUAUUGUUUUGUGGUUAUGAGUGUUUUACAACGAUAAACAAGUUGUUUCACUUUAAAUUCUUUUUAAUUGAAUUUUACCAAUUCAUAAAUUAAAAUUGGAUAAAAUUUUCCUUUAACGAGGAAUAACCUAAACAAUUUUAAAUUUUAUGGAUUAAUAAACAUUCAUCAAAGGAAUCUAUAUACAUAAAUAACUUGAUCUCAAAUCAGAUAAGAGUACCCGCUGAACUUAAGCAUAUCAAUAAGCGGAGGAAAAGAAACUAACAAGGAUUCCCUUAGUAACGGCGAGUGAAGCGGGAAGAGCUCAAAUUUGAAAUCUUCAAGGUUUGACCUUGACGAAUUGUAGUUUAUAGAAGUGUUUUCUGUUGGAGUUUUGGUAAAAGUUCUUUGGAAUAGGACAUCAUAGAGGGUGAGAAUCCCGUAUUUGACCAUGACUUUCCAGCUGUGUGAUACACUUUCAAAGAGUCGGAUUGUUUGGGAAUGCAGUCCAAAAUGGGUGGUAAAUUUCAUCUAAAGCUAAAUAUUGGCGAGAGACCGAUAGCAAACAAGUACCGUGAGGGAAAGAUGAAAAGAACUUUGAAAAGAGAGUUAAACAGUACGUGAAAUUGUCAAAAGGGAAUCGUUUGACACCAGUGUUGUUUUCUCGAAAAUCAGUUUAAUGAGUUCUUGUUUUUAAGUUAUUGUGACUUUAUCAGCGCAUUUCUUAUUUUACUUGACUCAUUGAAUGCACUUUUCGUUUAACAAGUCAACAUCAAUUUCUUUGGUGGUAAAAAGUUUAAAGGAAGGUGGCUUGGACUUCGGUUCAAGUGUUUAUAGCCUUUUUUCCAUGCCAUCGGAGAGAUUGAGGUCUGCAGCGUAGAUCCUUCGGGGUUAGAUACCUUUGUGCUAAGUUAUAGUUUUUUAUAGACAACUUGUUGACUAUAAUUAACCCUGUAAUUUACUCGCUUAGGCUAUUUUACCUACGCUUAGGAUGUUGAG
rnacentral:misc_RNA from 1 species